AAGUCGUAACAAGGUUUCCGUAGGUGAACCUGCGGAAGGAUCAUUAAUGAAAGUCUGGGCUUCGGCCCUCUCUCUUCUCUACACACUUGUGAACCUACCCUGUUGCUUUGGCAGGUCUCUCGAGGUGCGGACGUCAAGUCUGCAUCGAGAGUUAGACCGAAAGGUGCCUGCCAAAGACACUUUAAAACACCCUUUUAAGAUUGUCUGAUUUUUUGUUUGAAACAAAAACUAAAUAAAACUUUCAACAAUGGAUCUCUUGGCUCUG
rnacentral:misc_RNA from 1 species